AAUCUCAUAUACCCAAAACCCCUAACUUUGCAUCCGAAUACUUUUCUCGGGUCAGAUCAAGUUUGCUAUACAUAGCAUUCAAUGGCUCCCCUUUGCUCUGCUACCACCUUUACGGUGAUUCUAGGUCACCGCGAACAGUAGAAGCCUUGACGGAGUGUCACAUUUUAGGCUAUUGCUCUGGCCUUCUUCUACUCUUCCUCAAUAAAAAUCUCUGCGUCGCAAAUCCUCUCACAAAGAAGUUUCGUUUUUUUAAUCACUCUAGGUCAAAGUUUUUUCCCUUGGGUUACUACUCUACGACGAGGUCGUCAACAAGUCAUCGGGUUCUCUGUAGAUCAGA